rnacentral:lncRNA from 1 species
GUCACUCCCAAGCCUGGAAGAGAAUGAGAAGGAGGCAGUAGAAUAUCAUUAUAAUCAUACUACUUGUCCCAGGGGAUCCAUGUAUUCUACUGAAGAGUGGGAGUAGUUCAAAAUGGAGAAAUGAGGAAACCAUGACAAAGAGUCUGGAUAAUCAUUAGAACUGAUUAAAGUCAGGCUGCCCUAGAUUGAAAAGUGUGUGCCUCUGCUCACAGAUUACUUCAUGGAACCGUGAUAUAAUUUGGAUAGUAACAGAUUUUAUAGAUUAAUGAAGUAAGUCUGCGGUAAGAUGUGAAUUACUUUUUAUAAAAACAAGUGAUCCAUGUACCACCAGAAAAAUAGACUAGCAGAAGUCAUCUAGUAGUAUGUAUUAUACUCGCCAAUGUGAUAGCCUAAACAAACACAACCUACCCAGAGUGAAGCAGU